rnacentral:tRNA from 1 species
GUCAGGAUGGCCGAGUGGUCUAAGGCGCCAGACUCAAGGCGCCAGACUCAAGGUUUCCUUGCCUGUGAAGACGGGUCGAGUGUUCUGGUCCUCUAAUGAGGGCGUGGGUUCAAAUCCCACUUCUGACA